rnacentral:rRNA from 1 species
CCUACGGGCGGCAGCAGUGGGGAAUAUUGGGCAAUGGGCGCAAGCCUGACCCAGCAACGCCGCGUGGAGGAAGAAGGCUUUCGGGUUGUAAACCCCUUUUCUCAGGGACGAAGCAAGUGACGGUACCUGAGGAAUAAGCCACGGCUAACUACGCGCCAGCAGCCGCGGUAAUACGUCGGUGGCAAGCGUUAUCCGGAUUUACUGGGUGUAAAGGGCGGGUAGGCGGGGACGCAAGUCAGAUGUGAAAACCACGGGCUCAACCUGUGGCCUGCAUUUGAAACUGUGUUUCUUGAGUGCUGGAGAGGCAGACGGAAUUCCUAGUGUAGCGGUGAAAUGCGUAGAUAUUAGGAGGAACACCAGUGGCGAAGGCGGUCUGCUGGACAGCAACUGACGCUGAGGCGCGAAAGCGUGGGGAGCAAACAGGAUUAGAUACCCCUGUAGUC